ACUAGUGAAAUACCCGCGCGAUACUGCGGAUAUAAAAAUAUUUUUAUAAUAAAAUUUAUUUUUUUUAAUAUUUUUAUAUAAUUUUAUAAAUCUAAUUAUUAAUUAAAUAAAAGUUAUAUAAAAAUAAUUUAAUAGUUAAAAUUUAUAUGAAAAAGAUUUGAGAUAAACCUAUCAAAAUAAUUUUUAAAAAUUAAUAAAUAGAAGAAAAAUAAAAUUGUAGAAGAUAUUGUUUAAUAAAACUAAUUAUAUAUACACACAUACACUAUAUUUCUAAAAUUUUACUCUUGAAACUUAAAUUCCGUAUUUUUUUUAUACAAUAAAAUUUUACGUGAUUUAAAUUUUAUUACAUGAUUUAUUAAGUGUAUUAUUAAUAAAAUUAAUUAAUUAUAUUAUAUAUAACUAAUUAUUAAUAAAUUUAAUUAAUUAAUUAAUUUCAUAGAGUUUAGAGUUUUAAAAUUUUAAACUUUGAAGCUUCAAAUUUAGAAAUAAAUAUUAUAAGUUAAAAUUGAUAUUGAAAAUUUAAAUAUAAAAUAUAAAAUUUGAAAUUUAAAACUUUAAAAUUUGUAAAUAUCAAAAUUUUAAAUUUUGAUAUCAAAAUUUAAAACUAU
rnacentral:lncRNA from 1 species